rnacentral:rRNA from 1 species
AUUGAACGCUGGCGGCAUGCCUUACACAUGCAAGUCGAACGGCAGCACGGGGGCAACCCUGGUGGCGAGUGGCGAACGGGUGAGUAAUGCAUCGGAACGUGCCCAGUAGUGGGGGAUAACUAGUCGAAAGAUUAGCUAAUACCGCAUACGACCUAUGGGUGAAAGCGGGGGAUUCGCAAGAACCUCGCGCUAUCGGAGCGGCCGAUGUCUGAUUAGCUAGUUGGCGGGGUAAAAGCCCACCAAGGCGACGAUCAGUAGCUGGUCUGAGAGGACGACCAGCCACACUGGGACUGAGACACGGCCCAGACUCCUACGGGAGGCAG